UCUUAGCCAGUCUAAGCUGGCUAGCAAUCUUGCUGCCAAUUUAGUGACGCUAGUUAGCUAUCAUCAAGCUGACAAUAUUGAAAUGUCCAUGUUAGGUAUGCUUAGCUAGCCAGUCUAAUAGAGAUCAAUACAAUUAGUGGGAUGGUUAAAUUGUGUAUUGUUGUGUGUUUUGUUGUAGGUGGUACAGAAUCUGAUUCCACCAACGUGUGCUCCCAACCCCUAGCUCUGCACAAAGUGAAGGUUAUCUGGAGUCAUUCCACAGUGCCCUGCUGAAAACUACCCCAAAGCGGGGGCAUUUUGGGUACACAAGCAUGAGGGAGCGGACACACCUUGAGGUUAUGGAGCACAACAAGAUUGUGGGACAGAAACCAGCAAGGGACACUGAAAGGAGACGUGCAGUACCAGCAAAUCUUCUGCAAGAGGACCAAACAGUUGGUGGUUAAGGAGUUGUACACUACUUUCGGUAGAGUCUUAUCCAGCUGGCCAUUCACCACAGACAGGACAAGCCCAUCACCAUAAGCACAAAGAGUCUCAGCUUCCCCAGCCCACCAUUGCGAGUGUACCGAAGCCGGAUAAAGGGCAAUGGCUGCGUUUACACAGGC